GUCUGGGCGCCAAGCACACGUGCACCACAGGACCCCACUGGCCCCGGCCCGAAGGUACAACUCUCAAGGACAUGAAGAACUGGGGCAGAGAACUUCCAAGCUUCCCACUGCUGCAGUAAGGCAGGGAUCUGAACCACACUGUGCCGAGAUGGAGUACCCCUGACCAGACCGGGCCACAUCGACCCACGCCACCAACCUGCUCUUCUAAUGGAAGUCCUGGGCGUCCUGACGCCUCUCACUGCCUCUCCCCAUCAUUCCCGGCCAAACGGGGGCGUCAAGUAGGGCUCUACUCAUCAUCCGGACCAGCAGGGACCCUCUACCCUCCACAACCCCUUCCCCUUCUCCCCAGGCCAGACAUUUUGGGAACAUUGCAAGCAGAUGUGUCCAGAUGAGCACGUUCUAAUUUCUUAGCCAGGUUAAUGCUCAGUCAGGGGCCAGUCGAUGGUCGAUAGCUGUAUUUCCCUAAAACGCUGGUGUGGCGAGAGGCGACUCACAGGGCGCUUUUAAUGCCGCCAGCGUCCCUGUGUGGACUGGGCCAUAUUGAUCACGCCACACUGGAAGAACGUGUGCCUUCUGGGGAAGAAUCUAUUUGUGUCACCCUGGGCUGAGAUGGGGGCUUCACUGGAGGAGUAGAAAGCCCAGCCAAUGGAAGAUGCCAAAAACAUCAAAACAGCCAUGUUUACAGAUUACCCAAAGGGUAAGCAAAUUACUGCAAUUAUGCAGGCUGUGGGAAUACUGAUAUCAACAUACCUGCUACUUCUCCCAGAGGCACAACUUUUAUGAGGCUAGAGCACAAACAAAAACAGCACACUGUUCAUUUGAGUUGAUGGCUAAACUGCAACAGACGUAGCAGUUGGUUUUAACGAAGCCAAUAGAUUGUAUGAAUACAAAAUACUGUCAUUCUUACAGUACGUCCCUAACACACAUUUCAGUUGACUUACUGCUUUUCAGUACACUAUCAUUGUUUUUUUGGUCAUCUGACUGGAAUAAUGAUGCAUGUGAAGUAGGUACUUCUUAACACCAUCUGUAAGCGGUUACUGUCAUUCCUACCUUUUCUAGAGCAGUGUGAACUUGUCACUGAGGAAACACCAUGACAUGUUCCUCUGAAAAUGUUCUGGAUCUAUUAUUAUUCAUACGGAAUGAAUUACCACAUGAUGGCCCUUUGUGGUGAAGCGUAAUAGUCUAAAUCCUUUGCAAUUCCCCUAGGAGACCGCAUAUGAUGUUGUCAUGUCCAAUUAUCUGGCUACACUAUGAGGGUAAAUCACAGCUCAUGUCAGGUAUACAAUCUUCUACAUAUGUACACACGUGUGAGUAAGCACCAUCAACAAAAACAGUUUUUUCCGUGGACAAUGGAUAUUAACAUUGGUAAAACACUGAAGGUUCUCUUAGCUCAUGUAUGGGUUGUACAGGCAGAUUGGAGUGGCUGGGUUUCUUUCUCAACAGAAAUUGAAGAGAAAUUGACAAAGACAAUUUUGUGGAGCUAAAUCGUUCCGGAGAUGAAAAUUGUUUGUGUCACAAUUAUGUUUACAGAUUUUUGUGAUGACAUGUCAGGAUUGAAAUUGAUGGCAGAUCAGGAAAACUAUUUCCACCGGAUUUAGUCAAAAAAUUUAUAGAUGCACUUCGACAUCGACAAGUUUGCCAACACUUCAUAUUUUCAUAUUUCAAGUUCAACAAUAGAUUCUAGUACAUUUUCAUAUAAUCUAGUCAACAAAUCAAUCUUCAACCGGCUGAUUAGUUAGUUUAAUAACUGCUGGUGGUUUGUCGAGUGGACUCUGUGAAGGCUAGGUUACCAUAGCCCCAAUUCACCCUGAAGCGGUACACAUCCCUGUCCCAACAAUGCAGUCUGCCUCCCCUAGGCCCCUCCCUCAAGCUUCCAGUCAAACCAUUUAUUUAGUGUGACACAUCUCCAAUUAAACUUAUCCCUCCCCAUAGACUUUCUGUCACAUUGACAGAGAGGGACAGAAGGGGGAGUUCGGGAGGAGAAAGGAAGAUCACAUCUUACCUGCCAGCUAUAUGCUCACAAUGUCAUUUCCCCCUUCGUGGUUAGAAUGCUUCCUGGAAGGUGCCUUGAAUUUUAAUGAUCAUAAUAUUGACAUAAGAUAAUCUUAUUCUGAACUAAAACUGUCAACUUAAUGUUUGCCUUGUGGACAAUGCAUGCAUAUACAGUAUGUUCCAGGACUAAAAGUUCACGAUGAACAUUGAUUAUUAUACUGAAUACUGAGUGGUAGGUUGCAUGACUCAUCAAAUGGUAUCUCAACUAGCAAAAACAAGACAGACCCCAAUUACGGCAAAAUGUGUUAUGCACUCUGGCCAUACAUCUGUUGGUUUGAUUUAGUUUUUUGUAUGUAAUCUGGGACAAUGACUGUUCCUGUUCUCCCUGCGGGCACAGCUAUGUUUCCAUAAUCGGCAGAACGACACAAACAGAGGGACGACAACAAACUGUUUCACCUCACCCUCAAGUCUGAUUCCAUAAAGCUUCCAACCAUUCUGUCCUGCUACCAAGAUCAGCAGGACCAGCCUGGCGAUACUCAUCCCUUACUAUCCUAUUACGCUUAGAAAUGUGCCUUGCUAACUGGACCAGGCAGACCAGCUGCCCAAAAGAAAAUCUCUGGAACAUGAAGGGUAUAAGGAUAGACUCCUGCUCAUCACGCUCAGCCCAUUCCAUCCCCUCAUCUCUUUGCCCCUUGCGGCCCCAGUCACAGGAGGAGUGACUUUGUCUGACCCUGUUCCCGUCUGCGGGUGCGCAGCUGAGGGCGGCAGCUGCCAAGGAGGGCUGGUGGGGGAGCGCCCAAAACGGCGUGUCUGCCAAGCCGUGGGGCCGGUGGGAGCCCCAGUGGCAGCUGGGAAGGGUGGGGCGGCCAGCUGUGGAGCAGCAGGAUGGUGCUGGAGUGACUGGGAGAUGCCACCACACCCUGAGCCCUGCUCAUACAUAAACACCCAUACGCUACAUGUUAGAAGACUGAAAACCAACGCUAAUUCAACCAGAUUUUUCUUUGGCGCUCGCUUCCGAUUGGUUUCUGACACACCCGUGAACACACGGAUUAUAGACACAGUAUGAUCAGCCUCCUAACGCUAUCGCCACACUGGUCACAUGCUCCAGCCACACAUCUGCUGUACCAUCUGUAUCCCUCCACUGCGUGACAGGUAGUCCCUCUCCCCGGAGGGUGAACAGAGAGGAAGGGGGAGAUAGGGGAGGUCAUUCGGGGUGCAAAUGUGCCCUGGACCUCUCCAGAUGCAUCUGGGCCAGACAGACAAAAAAUGACAGGGCGCAGGGAGAGUAUUGAGCUAAUGACCAUACAGUAAGAAACACAUGGUCGUAUCUAAAAUGAGGAAACGAUCAAUCUUAGAGACGAUAUUGUCUAUGUACACGCAUUUCUAAAACAGACAAAGAAAAACAGUUGUAUAAAAAGUCAAGCAAUUUAUUGUUGCGAUUUCUCAGACAUACUGUACAGUUUCACAUCACAAUGACACAGUAACAACCAGUCAUGUUGCCUACAGGGCGCUUAAUGAGAAUGAAACCCUUCAUUACAACAUACGUACUACAGAACACCAAUGUUAGCAUCUUUGAGGCUGACUGGAAACCAAUGAUGUACUUCUCUGUAACCUGCGUGUUCGCGUAGUAGUACACAUUAACAUGAAGCCCAAGGUUUUAGGAAGUAGCACUACCAGUCACUACCUGUGUUGUCAUAAGAAACCUGAAGGCAUAACAGCUUCAAAAGACAACACUGAGUCAAUGAUGUUAAACUAUACAUAACUCACAUUUUUCAGUUCUUGGAUAACUCACAACAUUACCAUUUUUUGAAUGACAACAACUUAAGUUUAUUCAGGGAAAAAUGGCUUCCUGCAUUUGUAAAGUCGUCAUACUGAACCCAGCUAGGUGAGGGCAAAUAUUCUGAAUAAAAGAGUGAGCCUGACUAGACAGUAGGUGAUGAAAGCACUCCCCCAUGCUGAUAAUGGGAAUAUUCAGCAUGAGUAGAAUGACUAAAGAUGCAAAUAACAUUUAAAAGACGAUCGGGAAGAUCACAUGGAACAGAGAUGUGCCUAAUUUAUAUUAGGCCUACAUUUGGAAUAUCCCCCAACUGAACAUACCCCUUAUGCUGCCAAUAUCAGAACACACUGAAGCGCCAAGGCUGCUUCCAACUUCUAGGACAUUCAUAAAGCGUCUGAUAUUAGGAGUGAUAAUCUAGGGCCAGGCUCAAUUUCCGUGUAUUACAUUGUCAUUUCAAAGGAAAAACAAAUCCCAAUUCAGCCCUCCUAAUCUGAGACUUUGAGUAUGGGUCCAGCCCCUUAUCUUAGACACACAUCUCAAGUCAGAAUACAGCCACUCACAGGUCAUCGUUCUGUUACAACAAUGAAAACAAUGUUCAGCACUGGUGCUUCAAUAAAGAUCGGUAUGUUCCCAGUAUUUUUUUUUUAUAGGGCUUUCUUAUA